UGGAUCAGUAGCGAAGAUGUGUGGUAAUGAAUCUUGCUUGGGCCGAAGGCCCAAGUCUUCAAGAAAUUCCCCAAAACUGGGUUGCCCCUGUCCAUGAAGACUAAGAACCUAAACAACCGGUUCGGACGCAUGGAAUGCAGGAAAUUUCACGAACGAAACACCCAAAGCAGCUUCUGCGUCAACCACUCUAUCGCCGUUAAUGAGAACUCGCCAGGAAUGAAUCAAAGCAUCACGCGCACAUCAACGAUACUAGCAAGAAAUUGACUUCCCUCACUACGAAGAAACAAGAACAACAACGGAUCCAAGGCAAUUCGAUGCUGAAGUAAAAAUCAAAAUUUGAUGUGUGAACAAUAAAGGUAACCUACCGAAUUCGGCUGAGACUCUAGGUAAUUCUUUUCACUCAUUGCCGUCGAUCUUCUUCUUCUGGUUUGGGCCGUUUCUGCCACUGUUUUAUCCUUUUCUUUCCUUUUCCUUGUUUGUGUUGCUAAGAGCUUCGUUAUCAGUUGUUAGUGGUUGAGGGGUUGAAUGGAGGGUGGAGAGGAAUCGCAGGGUGAAGAGGGUGUUGAAGGAGGGUUCUCCAGAUUGGUUGAAGGGUCGAAAAUUGUUGUUUAAGGAAGUGAGAAGAUUGGUUAAAGGUUUUGUUGGUUCUGUUAUCGUAGGGGUUUCUCUCAAGGGUUGUCAGGGGUUAAAAAAUAUGUUAUGGUUGAAUGUCAGAAGAGUUUUUUUGGCUGAGUUGGCUUUGAAGUGGCGUGUGAAGGUGGAUGGAGGGUGGAAGGUUAUAAAUGAUGGUUGAAGAGUUGUUUAGAAUCGGUUCCAGAAGUUGCAGGUUCUGUUUUCAAUUCGGUUAAAGGUUUUUGGAUAUGGUGAGAAGGGUUGUUGAAUGAUGGUGAAGGGGGUUGUUGAAUGAUGGUGAAGAGGGUUAACUUGGUUGAAGAAAAAAUGGAAAAAUGAGAGAGGGUGUUGUUAUAUAAGGGUUGAGGUUAGUUGGUUUUGUUGACAGUUAGAAUUUCAGUUGCAAUUUUGGAAAUUCGGUUAGACAAUUAGAAAUUCUGUUGAGAAGUGAGGUUUUGUUAAUUCGGUUAGGGAGGUUAGGAAUUCAGUUACAAGUGGUUGGGAUUGGUUUGUUUGAUUGUUGUUGCACUGCCUUGCUGCAGGUUUGUUUUGGGUCGGCUGCAGAAUUGCGAAUUGAUGUGGUUCCGUUGUGUAAAUUGGUUCAGGUCCUAAUUUGUUCUGUCCACUUGAUGGCUUUAUGCAGUAUUAUGAUUUGCAUUGCUUGAAAGGUCAUCUGUUUUGGAAAUGUAAAUGGCUCGAGAAUGCUAAUGUUUUGCAGCCUUGUAUGUGUAUGGUCCAUGAUUUGUUCCCACUGCAAGUUAUUGCCAACUUACUUGGUGUUUUGUAUGCUUGUGUUUCUGUCAUAUUAGCUUUUGGUUUUCUGUUUGUGAAUCAGAAUUUUCAUGCUGUUAUGCAUUUGCAGGUGGAUCCUCGAGGGUGAACCAAGGUUGCACUUGCAAUGUGCAUUGGGCUGAGUUAUAUUGAUUAUGCAUUACGAAAUUGGAUUGUAAGGAGGGUGAUUGAAUGCUUGAACAUAGUGUUAGCUUGGUGAUACAAUAUGAGUUUAGGCUUGUUUCACUUGUGAGCUACUAGGAAUGGAGCGGAUUGUUGAUGUUUUGGUUAUAACCUUUGUAAUUGAAAUUUGUGAAUUAUAUUUUUGGUUUAGUGAUUGUAAUUGAAAUUUGUGAAUUAUAUUUUUGGUUUAGUGAUUGUAAUUGAUAUGAGAAUGAAUGUUAGUUUGAAUGAUGUAAUGGUGAAUAAUGGUUGUAACAUUAGAUGGUUGAAUAAAAUGACUUUGGUUUAAUGGAAA